rnacentral:rRNA from 1 species
AUUGAACGCUGGCGGCAAGCCUUACACAUGCAAGUCGAACGGCAGCACGGGAGCAAUCCUGGUGGCGAGUGGAGAACGGGGGAGUAAAGUAUCGGAACGUGCCCCGUCGUGGGGGAUAACGUAGCGAAAGUAACGCUAAUACCGCACACGAUCUGUGGACGAAAGGGGGGGAACGCAAGAACUCGCGCGAUUGGAGGGGACGAGAUCAGGUUCGAUAGUUGGUGGGGGAAAGGAUCACCAAGCCGACGAUCUGUAGCUGGUCUGAGAGGACGACCAGCCACACGGGGACUGAGACACGGCCCAGACUCCUACGGGAGGAAGCAGUGGGGAAUUUUGGGCAAUGGGCGAAAGCCUGAUCCAGCCAUGCCGCGUGAAGGAUGAAGGCCUUCGGGUUGUAAACUGCUUCUGUACGGAACGAAAAGGACUGCCCUAAUACGGUGGUCCCAUGACGGUACCGUAAGAAUAAGCACCGGCUAACUACGUGCCAGCAGCCGCCGUAAUAC